rnacentral:piRNA from 1 species
UGGAAUUUGCAGCUCUCCUGCUUCAGCCU